GACGAACGCUGGCGGCGUGCUUAACACAUGCAAGUCGAGCGGUAAGGCUCCUUCGGGAGUACACGAGCGGCGAACGGGUGAGUAACACGUGAGUAACCUGCCCCUUUCAUCGGAAUAACCAGUGGAAACGCUGGCUAAUGCCGAAUACGACCACCGAAGGCAUCUUCUGGUGGUGGAAAGCUCCGGCGGAAAGGGAUGGACUCGCGGCCUAUCAGCUUGUUGGUGAGGUAAUGGCUCACCAAGGCAACGACGGGUAGCCGGCCUGAGAGGGUGACCGGCCACACUGGGACUGAGACACGGCCCAGACUCCUACGGGAGGCAGCAGUGGGGAAUAUUGGACAAUGGGCGAAAGCCUGAUCCAGCAACGCCGCGUGAGGGAUGACGGCCUCGGUUGUAACCGUACUUUCUACGUAGGUACGGAAGACGAAAGUAGACGGUACCGUAC
rnacentral:rRNA from 1 species